UGUCAUAGCCGCAAGGUCUGUAUACAGGUGGUGCAUGGUUGUCGUCAGCUCGUGUCGUGAGAUGUUGGGUUAAGUCCCGCAACGAGCGCAACCCUCGUUCUGUGUUGCCAGCAUUUAGUUGGGGACUCACAGGAGACUGCCGGGGUUAACUCGGAGGAAGGUGGGGAUGACGUCAAAUCAUCAUGCCCCUUAUGUCUUGGGCUGCACGCAUGCUACAAUGGCUGGUACAAACGGCUGCGAUACCGCAAGGUGGAGCGAAUCCGAUAAAGCCAGUCUCAGUUCGGAUUGGGGUCUGCAACUCGACCCCAUGAAGUCGGAGUUGCUAGUAAUCGUAGAUCAGCAACGCUACGGUGAAUACGUUCCCGGGGCUUGUACACACCGCCCGUCACGUCACGAAAGUCGGUAACACCCGAAGUCAGUGGCCCAACCGUAAGGGGGG
rnacentral:rRNA from 1 species